UACGGAGGGGGCUAGCGUUGUUCGGAAUUACUGGGCGUAAAGCGCGCGUAGGCGGACCUGCAAGUCCGGGGUGAAAGCCCGAGGCUCAACCUCGGAACUGCCUUCGAUACUGCGGGUCUCGAGUCCGGGAGAGGUGAGUGGAAUUCCUAGUGUAGAGGUGAAAUUCGUAGAUAUUAGGAAGAACACCAGUGGCGAAGGCGGCUCACUGGCCCGGUACUGACGCUGAGGCGCGAAAGCGUGGGGAGCAAACAGG
rnacentral:rRNA from 1 species